CCUACGGGGGGCUGCAGUGGGGAAUAUUGGACAAUGGGCGAAAGCCUGAUCCAGCCAUGCCGCGUGUGUGAAGAAGGCCUUCGGGUUGUAAAGCACUUUCAGUGGGGAAGAAAGCCUUGGGGCUAAUACCCUCGAGGAAGGACAUCACCCACAGAAGAAGCACCGGCUAACUCCGUGCCAGCAGCCGCGGUAAUACGGAGGGUGCGAGCGUUAAUCGGAAUUACUGGGCGUAAAGCGCGCGUAGGCGGUCUGAUAAGCCGGUUGUGAAAGCCCCGGGCUCAACCUGGGAACGGCAUCCGGAACUGUCAGGCUAGAGUGCAGGAGAGGAAGGUAGAAUUCCCGGUGUAGCGGUGAAAUGCGUAGAGAUCGGGAGGAAUACCAGUGGCGAAGGCGACCUUCUGGACUGACACUGACGCUGAGGUGCGAAAGCGUGGGUAGCAAACAGGAUUAGAUACCCGUGUAGUC
rnacentral:rRNA from 1 species